rnacentral:rRNA from 1 species
GGACAACCUACCCUACGGAGGGGGAUAACCCCGGGAAACUGGGGAUAAUACCCCAUAGACUAUGGAUGCUGGAAUGCUCUGUAGCCGAAAGGUCCGCCGCCGUAGGAUGGGUCUGCGGCCGAUUAGGUUGUUGUUGGGGUAACGGCCCAACAAGCCUGUAAUCGGUACGGGUUGUGGGAGCAAGAGCCCGGAGAUGGAUUCUGAGACACGAAUCCAGGCCCUACGGGGCGCAGCAGGCGCGAAAACUUUGCAAUGCGGGAAACCGUGACAAGGGAACUCUGAGUGCCCGUAUAAUCGGGCUGUCCAUCGGUUUAAAUAACCGGUGAAGAAAGGGCCGGGCAAGACCGGUGCCAGCCGCCGCGGUAAUACCGGCGGCUCGAGUGGUGGCCACUAUUACUGGGCUUAAAGCGUUCGUAGCUGGUUUGUUAAGUCUCUGGGGAAAUCUUCCGGCUUAACCGGAAGGCGUCUCAGGGAUACUGGCAGACUAGGGACCGGGAGAGGUGAGAGGUACUCCAGGGGUAGGAGUGAAAUCCUGUAAUCCUAGGGGGACCACCUGUGGCGAAGGCGUCUCACCAGAACGGGUCUGACGGUGAGGGACGAAAGCUGGGGGAGCAAACCGGAUUAGAUACCCCGGUAGUCCCAGCCGUAAACGAUGCGCGUUAGGUGUAUCGGUGACCACGAGCCCAAUUAGUGUCGAAGAGAAGUUGUUAAGCAAGCUGCCUGGG